AUCCAGCCAAGGGCCAUCCUAAAUUCUAAUAGAAGUGCCAAAACCAGCGUGUCACCACAAUCCUUGUCGAAGCAAAUCUUUACAAGCCCAAAUACUCCUCCAUGUAAAACUCGAAUUACAACCCGAAGAGGCAUCCAAAAAAAGAAUUAUGAGAAAAAUAUCAUGCUUUAAGAACUUGCUCAACCAUUCAAUGAGGAUUAGGGAGCA
rnacentral:misc_RNA from 1 species